rnacentral:rRNA from 1 species
UACGAAGGGUGCAAGCGUUACUCGGAAUUACUGGGCGUGAAGCGUGCGUAGGUGGUUGUUUAAGUCUGUUGUGAAAGCCCUGGGCUCAACCUGGGAACUGCAGUGGAAACUGGACAACUAGAGUGUGGUAGAGGGUAGCGGAAUUCCCGGUGUAGCAGUGAAAUGCGUAGAGAUCGGGAGGAACAUCCAUGGCGAAGGCAGCUACCUGGACCAACACUGACACUGAGGCACGAAAGCGUGGGGAGCAAACAGG